GCCAGGUGCAGUGGUGCAUGCCUGUAGUCCCAGAGGCUGAGGCAGGAGGUUCCCUUGAGUCCGGACAUUGGUUCUGGGCUGUAGUGCACUAUGCCAAUCGGUUGUCUGCACUAAGCUCGGCAUCAAUAUGGUGACCUCCUAGGAGUGGGGGAUCACCACGCUGCCUAAGGAGAGCUGAGCUGGCCCAGGUCAGAAACAGAGCAAGUCAAAACUCACGUGCUGAUCAGGAGUGGGAUCAUGCCUGUGAAUAGCCACUGCACUCCAGCCUGGGCAAUGUACCCAGACCCUGUUUCU
rnacentral:SRP_RNA from 1 species